rnacentral:lncRNA from 1 species
CUCACGUUGCUGUAGAUGUGCUGCAGCGCCUCGCGGGCGCUGGGCACGCCCAGGUCGGUGUUGAGCACCAGGCGCAGCCCCGAGGGCGUCUCCAGGUAAUGCAGCCGGUACUUGCUGGUGUGGAACGACACGAACCCGUCCCGCCUGCGCGCUAAGGAGCCCAAAAAAUCCCCAAAAUCCCCAAAAUCCCCGAAAUUCCCCAAAUCCCCCGCCCCCCCAAUCCCGGGGAAUCGCCUCCAGCCGCCAGAGCCACCCCCAGACCCCGAAAUCCGCUUCAAAAUCGCCCCAAAUCUGACCCAAAUCUUGAAGGUUUGGCGCUCUUCAAAACACCAAAAUUCCCAAAAUUCCCCAAAAUUCCCCAAAUUCCCCCAAAUUCCCCAAAUUCCCCCAAAUUCCCCAAAAUUCCCGAGGCUUCAGAAUCCCCUCAGAUCCCCCCCGAAUCUCUCUCGGCUCUCCAGGAGCUCAAAUCCCCCGAAUUCCCGAAUUCCAGAGGGUCCCCAAACCCUCGGGAUUCUCCCAGACCCCAAAUCCCCCCAAAUUCCCAAAAUCCUCACCCAAAAUCUCCGAAUCCCUCGGGAUUUUUUUGGGAUUCCUCCCCCCCGGAUUUUUUUAGGACCCCCCUGGAAUUUUUUGGGAUCGGCUGAAGCUCCAGGGGGAUCCAAAGAUCCCCAAAAAAACCCCAAUUGCUCCCAAAAUUCCCCCAAAAAACCCAAAUUCCUCCCAAAAUUCCCCCAAAAUCCCCCCAAAUCCUCAUCCAGGAUCCCCCCAUCCCCCAUUUUUUGGGAUCUGAUCCCCUUUUUUGGGAUUUCCCGGGGUUUUUUGGGAUCCCAAAUCCCGAAUUUUCGGAUACAUGUCCGUGGGGCUCAUCUUGGCCACGAAGGAGCGGAGCGAGAAAAGCAUCCCAAACAUCAGCUUGAAUUCCUGGGAAUUUGGGAAAAUUUGGGGAAUUCUGGGGGAUUUUGGGAGAAUUUCCAGACUUCCAAACUCCCAAUUCCCAAAAUUUCCCCGAAUUCCCCAUCCCAAAGC